rnacentral:lncRNA from 1 species
GGCUACUACCGCACUGAUGGUGAUGGCGACGGCGAGACGCUGCAGUGGAUCGGGCAGAGGGUAGCCCCCCAGUGGCAAUGGCGGCGGGAGCCACCGCUGCACGCGGUGUCUUCAUGAGGCCGCGAGAAACCACGACUCUGCUGCAGUGGUGGGAGCGACGGUGGGUAUUGCACUGCCCUACGGCGAGGGCAGUAGUCCACCACCCUCCCUGCUCCUUAUCUUCGGUGGUCGGGGUGGCUAAGGGGGGCC